AUCUUUCUCCUAUUCAAAAUUAAGUGUCACAGUUACCACUUCAUAGGAACAUGCUGAUUUCUUUCUUCAAUGGCCACAGGAGCAGAUCCCUGGCCAUUUUACUCCCACUUUUUCCUGAGAGUUCUCGCUCUAUCUCACCUCCCCGUGUUUGUGUUUACCCACAUACAUGCUACAACAUCUUGAGAUCACAUUAUUCAGAAAAUUUGUUUUAAAGGAAUGAUCAAUGCAUUUACUGGUUUUGCCCCAGCCUGAGCUGACUCUGGCAAGAAUGAUCCAUUAACAUGGGGCUGAGGACACACAGCAUUGCCCAGAACACCAAGUUGUUGAUCUAAAACUUUCUUAUAUUUAGAAGAAUAAGGGUUUUCUCACCGUCUCCCCUCCUCACAUACAGUUCGAGAAUUUCAAGGGCAGCUCAUUAGUUAGCAGAAACUUCAAUGAAGCUACAGUGGUUGAUUUAUUGUAAUAGAUGCCAGGAAACAGAAUUAUCUUAGCAAAUGAGUUUGGCUGAUAGGAAAGCUGGCCAGCAGAUAAGACACAGUGCUGACGUCUGACCUGCCCGUGUUUCUGAUGGAGUGACGCUGAUUCACUGCCGAGGAUGAGUCGGUAGAUGUAACACGAAUGUUCAGAAGAACAAGCUGCAGGAGCUGCAGAACACGACUUGCAAGCACCGGCCUCGCGAGCCCAGCACUUUCUGGCCAAGAGGCUGGGAAACCUGCUGGACCUUCCACAGCCACAACCAACGUCUUCUGGUUCUUGUGACAAGUGUGGGGAAAUUCCAUGACAAACAUGAAGAGAAAUACAACGAUAAACAUGGAGAGAGGGGGGAAAAAUGAACCCUUUCUGCGAGAAUUCCUGGAAAAUCUCUGGGCUGCUGAAGGAAAAGCAGUCACAGCAGAAAUUUUUGCCACAAGGUCUGACAGAGUGCAAACAGAAAAUAGGCAAGAAGAGAUGGAUUUAUCUUGGGAGAUAAAGCACCCGACCUCCCUCCACUACUGGCUUCUGAAUCACUAGAGGUAGGACAGGCAGGGUUUCAAACAGGCACUUCAAACAGUUUCAAACCACCACAUUCAACAUUAUAUUAAUUUGGCUUGGGGGACAUCAUAAGGUAUUGACUUUCCAUCUAGGACACUAAGACAUUAGACAAUUACAAGUUCUGCCACGUCUUGCCAAUUAUUCUGCCUCCCAAAGGACAAAGAAUACAGAAACGCUUCACACUGAGAAAAUUACCUUUUUUUACAAAAAAAUAAAAGAAAAACUAUUGUGAAGAAAUAUUCUUCUAAAUUAGGGAUCUGCUGAGAGGUUUUUUUCCCUUCUGGAGUAAUAAAGGUGUGUGGCUGAAGGUGGCAGUUGUUCAAGUGGGGAUUUAGGGUGCUUCUAGUAAAACCUGGACUGCAACCUGUGGAUCAGGUUUGGAAAAGUAAAGUCUUAAAAAUAACUAACAAUUACCUAAUAAAUAGUAACAAUUACUAAGCAGUCAUUUUGCAAAUUUCUCUCAGCUUUGGAAGGUCGGCAAAUUCCUGUGAUUUAGGCACAGCAUUUGUUUUUUGUGGCUGGAGUAUGUAUGCAGAAUGGGCCUUGAGAUGAGGCAAUUUUCAACAUUUGCUGUGCUUGUUGACCUGUUUCAGAUGACCAAACAGGAGAUCUCUGCUUGGUUUAUGAUGUUAUAUUCACAUUUAUGGUGCUGAUGAGACACCAAAAUGAGACAUCAUUUGCUACUGCUCUGAAUUAGGGCUGAGCACACAUGAAGAUCUCUGCUCCAUUUUGAUCUGUUCUUAUUUUAUGCCUCCACUGACUGGGGCAAAUGAUGCCACAAACCCCAGGACAGUGGAGAUACGUCCUGGAUCUCUGCUGCUGAAAAAUCACCAGCCAGCAACUUCCAGAGUUUUAGUUACUCUGAAUCAGUAUUAUUAUGAAUUGGUGUUUUCAGGAGAGCAAUUGCUUGGUGCUUUAUCAGAUCUUAAGAAAUUCUACUAAUGUUACAUCACCACAUCACAGCAGAGAGAUCCUAGGAAGCAAAUACUGCAUCAGGCCCUUAAUUCAGGGUCAUAGCACUGUAGGCUGUUUUUUUAAUUAAGUUUCUUUUCUGGGGCAAAAGUAAUUUGUAAAAUCUGCCCAAAACUGGUAGAUUCAAUGUGAUGAACAGCUCAUAAUCUACCAGCUGAAACCUUCUCAGCAGUCCAUCAGUUAAUGAAUUUAAGCCAAAGUUUUUCUUCAGCAAUAAUGGCGAAGUCUGUUACAAUUUAAUAGUGAAGCUACAGAAUAUUAAUAGUGGGUUUAUAGAAAUUGCCAUGAACAUCUACAGAUUUCACUGUUGCAUGUUGUCCAGCUGUGGCAGUCUGAAUGCUUUAGAGAAGAAAACACAGUUCUCAGUUUUCUGAAACAGAACGAGACUGAAUGGGUUUGCAGCAGCUCCAACACUGGGGCUCCUGCAGAGCUAAGGGGACCUUUCUUUAGUAAUUCUGCUUCUUGGUUUUACAUUCUCUGUAUAAUUUUUAUUCUUCAAAGUCAAUAAAUAGUGACGUUUCUGAGAUGCUGGCCAUGAGGGAGGCUUGAUCUUACCGAAACACAGCCAAGAGUGCCUGACGCUUGCUGAAAAUGGACAGAGUUUACUGUUGAGCUGCAUUGGAGAGACUGUGAAGACACUUUCUAGAAAAGAAAACUGCAUGUACUGCUCAGAAUGUAAAAAAAUGUGACAAUAAAAAAGAAUGUAAAAUCUACCUACUGCUGUUAAACUCUUGUAUUUAUUUUUAAAAUUUUCCCCAUAACCAUUCAAGUUCAUUAACUUAAUACGGCUCAUUUGGAAAUGAUGGUUUGGUUUUUGUAUUGUCUAGACAGUUAUAUAUUCAGCAUAUAUAAGCUAUAGCUCAGCAAACAGAAAGCAAAAAAUAAGGCGUAUCUUCUGUUGUGCGCAAAAAUACACAUCAAUGGAUUUCCAGCAUGACUUGUAGUUUAUCGAUGACAGAAGCAGUAUUUCAACAAUGGGAUUCUCAAGCUGUGUUCCACAGAGCAGUGCUGGUCCAUGAAAUUGUGUUAUAAUACAUCACUUGCCGGGGCUGCCAAGGAUUAAAUCCGUGCUAAGCCUGCCGGUGUGCGCACACAGGGGCUGGAGACACGCGGGAGGAACCGCGAGGUGCAGCACGGACCACGGACACAUCCAGGGCAGUGCAGAGAUAGACCCACAAACAUCCCAACGCAGGACCAAGUCCAGGUUUGUACACAAGCAAAACCUGACUUCGUACCUUAUUCCCAGUACUGUUUAGCCUUGAUCACCUUUAACCCAACUCUUCAUGAGGCCAGUUCACUGUGCUUUCCAAUAUGAAAUAUCUUCACAUAUGAAACCCCAAGCCCUCAGCUUGCUGAGGUAGCUCAGCCCCAGACUCCCAGCAGGAUCUGGCUCUUGAACCAAAGC